GAUGCUGGCAGCAUCGCUGUGUCCGAUAUCAACGAGUGUAAUCUGAACACCACCAGCUGUGCAGAUGUCGCCACCUGUAACAACACCGAGGGCGCGUACUUCUGCACCUGCCCUGCGGGAUGGACCGACGUGUCUCCUGCAGAGAGCAUCUCCGGAUCAUUUUGCCAACGAAACACACCUGUCCACGUCAGUGAGGGUCCUUCUCUUUUCGUCAUCCUGACUGCAGUGUUUGCAGGCAUCGGCUUCAUACCUGCUGUCAUACUUAUCAUCUGGCUAGUUAAAAAUAAGAAAUCAUCUGUUGGCAUCGCGGGGGAAACAAAGGUUACAGUACCUGAUGACGUAGAAGCGCCCGGGCCCCCUCCGUCCCGCCAGUUCCUGGUAGAAACUGCGCCUCCUGCCGAACCCACCUCAGUUGAGCUACCCGGAACACCUGACAGCAGUCACGCGUAAAAUAGACUUUUACCAACAACAAAGUAUAUAAGAUUGUCAUCUCAUUAAAGAGCAUCAUGCACUAGUAAACAACACCAACAUCGAAACUCAUACUUCAGACAAAGCUGAACUAUGCAUAAUUUUUCCAGGACUCAGCCACCUUUUGACCAACAAUUUUGAAAAAAUUCCAAUCUGGAACGGUCAUUUUUUCCAAAUUUGCUUUUCAUUGACUACUUGGACAUACGAUUGUGUCUUGACAGACCACGCUAGUAGGGACUACAUGGAGGUAUGGGGCCGGACGCCGAAGCAUGAUGACAGAUUUUCACCGAACUCAUACUUUAUACUAUCCCAGUGCUGACCUGUUUAAAGUACGACACUAGGCAAAAAGAUGAUGUGCGCGGCUACUACAUGUAGGUUUUUUCAUACUCCAUGGAAACCGAAUGCUGUUGGUUUGAAAUUUUGUGAUUUCUCUUUCUGUGAUCUUGACAGACCACGCUACUAGGGACUACAUAUAGCCAUCAAGCCGAAUGUCGAGGCCCAAUGACCUCUUUUUAUCGAGUUCACACCUUAUAAUUACAGUUGUAUUAAUACACGCCCCCUUUCGAGUCUGUAGCGAACUGUUUAAAGUUGUGAUACUAGAGGAAAAGAAUGACGUGUCCGGCUACUAGGUUUAUUGGUUAUGCUCUAUGGAAACCGAAUGCUGUUGGUUUGAAAUUUUGUGAUUUCUCUUGCUGUGAUCCUGACAGACCACGCUACUAGGGACUACAUAGAGUCUUUCGGCCAAAUGUCGAGGCCCGAUGACUUCUUUUGAUCGAAUUCACACCUUAUAUCAUAUAUGUGAAUAUACGCCCCCUGUCGACUCCGUAGCGAACUGUUUAAAGGUGUGAUACUAGAGAAAAAGGACGACGUGUCCGGCUACUAGGUUGGUUAUGCUUUAUGGAAACCGAAUGCUGUAGGUCGAUAUUUGAUGUUGAUAUAUUUCAUGAUUUCUCUUGCUGUGAUCCUGACAGACCACGCUACUAGGGACUACAUAGAGCCUUUAGGCCGAAUGUCGAGCACGAUGACUUCUUUUUAUCGAAUUCACACCUUGUACAUGUACUUACAUUUGUAUGAAUACAUGCCUCCUGUCAGCUCUGUAGCGAACUGUUUUGAGGUGUGAUACUAGAGGAAAGGGAUGACGUGCGCGACUACUAGGUUGUAUAUACUCUAUGGAAACCGAAUGCUGUUGGUUUAUGAACGCAGAGCAAGUUGUUCAAAUAUACAUUUUUU